rnacentral:lncRNA from 1 species
CACUUUGUUCAUAUACUGAAGUGUAACAUGCUGUAAGUUUCCAGAAGAUGCAAAAUUCUGAAACAGGAUGAUAUCAUCCACUGAUAAUUUGGAGCUGGCACUUUAACACACUAAAAAUAGACUCUGCUUUAAAGGUGCCCCCUCUGUGCCAUGAAAACCAUGCUUAUAUUUGUGGUACAACUGAGAAAAAUAUGUUAGUAUCUUCCAAACCUAGUAAAGUUAGAUGGAAUCCAAGUUUCCAAACGUAUUAAAGUUAGAUGGAAAUUCCAGUCUACCCUGACAAGAAAUUUUCAUAUUUUCUAACUGCUUGAAUCUUCAACCAACUCUAUUAGGGUUAUAGGGAUAGCACCAUCUAUGAUGUCAACUCAGAACUAAGGGUAGUGCAGCAUGUUAUUAUCCAGAUAGGGAUGCUCUUAAAGAACUGAGGACUGACUCUGUACAUCUAUAGUAAUUACUUCAAUAUCUAUCCCAAAUAGUAGAGGAAUAGGAUUUAAUAAACAAAGCCAUGAAAAAUUGGGCAUUCCUACACGAAGAUGGAAUGCUUUAUUGACACUAUAAUCCCACAUCCAUUUUUAUUCUAUUAUUGAUUCCUUUAAAUUCCCAUUCUAAUAUAUCUAUAUAUUUCUCCAAUAUCCUUAUAUAUGAUUAUCUGGACACACACAAACACAUAUUACAUGAUAUGUCAUUUGCAUGUUAACUUUAUUUAAGUAUACUAAACAUUUUUUAUGUGUGGUUCACAGAGCUAU